rnacentral:rRNA from 1 species
AAAUUGAAGAGUUUGAUCAUGGCUCAGAUUGAACGCUGGCGGCAGGCCUAACACAUGCAAGUCGAGCGGUAGCACAGAGAGCUUGCUCUCGGGUGACGAGCGGCGGACGGGUGAGUAAUGUCUGGGAAACUGCCUGAUGGAGGGGGAUAACUACUGGAAACGGUAGCUAAUACCGCAUAACGUCGCAAGACCAAAGUGGGGGACCUUCGGGCCUCAUGCCAUCAGAUGUGCCCAGAUGGGAUUAGCUAGUAGGUGGGGUAACGGCUCACCUAGGCGACGAUCCCUAGCUGGUCUGAGAGGAUGACCAGCCACACUGGAACUGAGACACGGUCCAGACUCCUACGGGAGGCAGCAGUGGGGAAUAUUGCACAAUGGGCGCAAGCCCUGAUGCAGCCAUGCCGCGUGUGUGAAGAAGGCCUUCGGGUUGUAAAGCACUUUCAGCGGGGAGGAAGGCGUUAAGGUUAAUAACCUUGGCGAUUGACGUUACCCGCAGAAGAAGCACCGGCUAACUCCGUGCCAGCAGCCGCGGUAAUACGGAGGGUGCAAGCGUUAAUCGGAAUUACUGGGCGUAAAGCGCACGCAGGCGGUCUGUCAAGUCGGAUGUGAAAUCCCCGGGCUCAACCUGGGAACUGCAUUCGAAACUGGCAGGCUAGAGUCUUGUAGAGGGGGGUAGAAUUCCAGGUGUAGCGGUGAAAUGCGUAGAGAUCUGGAGGAAUACCGGUGGCGAAGGCGGCCCCCUGGACAAAGACUGACGCUCAGGUGCGAAAGCGUGGGGAGCAAACAGGAUUAGAUACCCUGGUAGUCCACGCCGUAAACGAUGUCGAUUUGGAGGUUGUGCCCUUGAGGCGUGGCUUCCGGAGCUAACGCGUUAAAUCGACCGCCUGGGGAGUACGGCCGCAAGGUUAAAACUCAAAUGAAUUGACGGGGGCCCGCACAAGCGGUGGAGCAUGUGGUUUAAUUCGAUGCAACGCGAAGAACCUUACCUGGUCUUGACAUCCACAGAACUUUCCAGAGAUGGAUUGGUGCCUUCGGGAACUGUGAGACAGGUGCUGCAUGGCUGUCGUCAGCUCGUGUUGUGAAAUGUUGGGUUAAGUCCCGCAACGAGCGCAACCCUUAUCCUUUGUUGCCAGCGGUUCGGCCGGGAACUCAAAGGAGACUGCCAGUGAUAAACUGGAGGAAGGUGGGGAUGACGUCAAGUCAUCAUGGCCCUUACGACCAGGGCUACACACGUGCUACAAUGGCAUAUACAAAGAGAAGCGACCUCGCGAGAGCAAGCGGACCUCAUAAAGUAUGUCGUAGUCCGGAUUGGAGUCUGCAACUCGACUCCAUGAAGUCGGAAUCGCUAGUAAUCGUAGAUCAGAAUGCUACGGUGAAUACGUUCCCGGGCCUUGUACACACCGCCCGUCACACCAUGGGAGUGGGUUGCAAAAGAAGUAGGUAGCUUAACCUUCGGGAGGGCGCUUACCACUUUGUGAUUCAUGACUGGGGUGAAGUCGUAACAAGGUAACCGUAGGGGAACCUGCGGUUGGAUCACCUCCUUA